rnacentral:tmRNA from 1 species
GGGGCCGUUUUUGGCUUCGACAAAAGAAUAUUUUGCUUUAUGUGCAAGUGGUUGCUGACCUAAUCAGCAAACAGUUAAAAUAACUGACAAAUUUAAUUUUAAUACUGAUCUAGCAUUUGCCUAAUUAAAGGCACGGAUCACUGGCUAUAAAUUAAUUCUACAGAGUUUAUAGUUGGUUCAUAAUAGUAGAAUAUAUUUAAUAAAUUGCUUAGUUUAUUGAACGAAAUUUAAUAAGCUCAGUUAGUGAUUCUUUAGAUAAUUUGCGGGGCACUAAUGAAAUAACAAAUUAUCUAAACUUGUAGAGCAUAUUGAGAAAUACUUUUGGACACCAGUUCGAUUCUGGUCGGCUCCACCA